rnacentral:rRNA from 1 species
CUCUCGGCAACGGAUAUCUCGGCUCUCGCAUCGAUGAAGAACGUAGCGAAAUGCGAUACUUGGUGUGAAUUGCAGAAUCCCGUGAACCAUCGAGUCUUUGAACGCAAGUUGCGCCCGAGGCCGUUAGGCCGAGGGCACGUCUGCCUGGGUGUCACGCAACGUC